rnacentral:rRNA from 1 species
GACGAACGCUGGCGGCGUGCUUAACACAUGCAAGUCGAGCGGUAAGGCCCUUUCGGGGGUACACGAGCGGCGAACGGGUGAGUAACACGUGGGUGACCUGCCCUCAGCUCUGGGAUAAGCCUGGGAAACCGGGUCUAAUACUGGAUAUGACUCCAUGACGCAUGUUGUGGGGUGGAAAGCCUUGUGCGGCUGAGGAUGGGCCCGCGGCCUAUCAGCUUGUUGGUGGGGUGAUGGCCUACCAAGGCGACGACGGGUAGCCGGCCUGAGAGGGCGACCGGCCACACUGGGACUGAGACACGGCCCAGACUCCUACGGGAGGGCAGCAGUGGGGAAGUCUUGCGCAAUGGGCGAAAGCCUGACGCAGCGACGCCGCGUGAGGGAUGACGGCCU